rnacentral:rRNA from 1 species
CACUCUAUUUGAUUUUCUUCGGAAAUGAAGAUUUUGUGACUGAGUGGCGGACGGGUGAGUAACGCGUGGGUAACCUGCCUCAUACAGGGGGAUAACAGUUGGAAACGACUGCUAAUACCGCAUAAGCGCACAGGAUCGCAUGAUCCGGUGUGAAAAACUCCGGUGGUAUGGGAUGGACCCGCGUCUGAUUAGCCAGUUGGCAGGGUAACGGCCUACCAAAGCGACGAUCAGUAGCCGACCUGAGAGGGUGACCGGCCACAUUGGGACUGAGACACGGCCCAAACUCCUACGGGAGGCAGCAGUGGGGAAUAUUGCACAAUGGGGGAAACCCUGAUGCAGCGACGCCGCGUGAGCGAAGAAGUAUUUCGGUAUGUAAAGCUCUAUCAGCAGGGAAGAAGAAUGACGGUACCUGACUAAGAAGCACCGGCUAAAUACGUGCCAGCAGCCGCGGUAAUACGUAUGGUGCAAGCGUUAUCCGGAUUUACUGGGUGUAAAGGGAGCGCAGGCGGUGCGGCAAGUCUGAUGUGAAAGCCCGGGGCUCAACCCCGGUACUGCAUUGGAAACUGUCGUACUAGAGUGUCGGAGGGGUAAGUGGAAUUCCUAGUGUAGCGGUGAAAUGCGUAGAUAUUAGGAGGAACACCAGUGGCGAAGGCGGCUUACUGGACGAUAACUG